GAUGAACGCUGGCGGCGUGCCUAAUACAUGCAAGUCGAGCGAACAGAUGAGGAGCUUGCUCCUCUGACGUUAGCGGCGGACGGGUGAGUAACACGUGGAUAACCUACCUAUAAGACUGGGAUAACUUCGGGAAACCGGAGCUAAUACCGGAUAAUAUAUUGAACCGCAUGGUUCAAUAGUGAAAGACGGUUUUGCUGUCACUUAUAGAUGGAUCCGCGCCGCAUUAGCUAGUUGGUAAGGUAACGGCUUACCAAGGCAACGAUGCGUAGCCGACCUGAGAGGGUGAUCGGCCACACUGGAACUGAGACACGGUCCAGACUCCUACGGGAGGCAGCAGUAGGGAAUCUUCCGCAAUGGGCGAAAGCUUGACGGAGCAACGCCGCGUGAGUGAUGAAGGUCUUCGGAUCGUAAAACUCUGUUAUUAGCGAAGAACAAAUGUGUAAGUAACUAUGCACGUCUUGACGGUACCUAAUCAGAAAGCCACGGCUAACUACGUG
rnacentral:rRNA from 1 species